GUGAAUCAUCGAAUCUUUGAACGCACCUUGCGCUCGUUGGUAUUCCGACGAGCAUGCCUGUUUGAGUGUCAUUAAAUUCUCAACCUCAUCGCUUUUGUGAUGAUGGCUUGGAAGUUGGAGGUUUUUUGCAGGCUGAAAAGUCUGCUCCUCUCAAAUGAAUUAGUGGGUGCCCCGCGCAAACCUAUCUAUUGGUGUGAUAAUUAUCUACGCCGUGGAUCCUUAGGAUUGCUGUAAAAAGGUGUUUGCCCUGCUUCUAACCGUCUUCGGACAACUUGAACCAUUUGACCUCAAAUCAGGUAGGACUACCCGCUGAACUUAA
rnacentral:rRNA from 1 species